rnacentral:rRNA from 1 species
GACGAACGCUGGCGGCGUGCCUAAUACAUGCAAGUAGAACGCUGAAGAGAGGAGCUUCCUCUUCUUGGAUGGGUUGCGAACGGGUGAGUAACGCGUAGGUAACCUGCCUUGUAGCGGGGGAUAACUAUUGGAAACGAUAGCUAAUACCGCAUAACAAUGGAUGACACAUGUCAUUUAUUUGAAAGGGGCAAUUGCUCCACUACAAGAUGGACCUGCGUUGUAUUAGCUAGUAGGUGAGGUAAUGGCUCACCUAGGCGACGAUACAUAGCCGACCUGAGAGGGUGAUCGGCCACACUGGGACUGAGACACGGCCCAGACUCCUACGGGAGGCAGCAGUAGGGAAUCUUCGGCAAUGGGGGCAACCCUGACCGAGCAACGCCGCGUGAGUGAAGAAGGGUUUCGGAUCGUAAAGUUCUGUUGUAAGUCAAGAACGGGUGUGAGAGUGGAAAGUUCACACUGUGACGGUAGCUUACCAGAAAGGGACGGCUAACUACGUG